AUCCAACCCUAUAAACUCAUCAUA
rnacentral:siRNA from 1 species